CGCUGCGCUAGUGUUAGCACUGUGCUAGCAUGUUGCUGCUGUGUUGCUAGUGUGUCUCAAUGAUAUUUACCGGUGUCCGGGUACUUCCCGGGACCAGAGCGCGAGUGACUACUGCUGACCUGAUCUGAAAUCCAUCUAUUUUCUGAGCCACUUAUCCUCACGAGGGUCGUGGGAGUGUUGAAGCCUAUCCGACCCGACUCGAUAGAAAAAGGCUCUCAGGGCUCUGGAGCCUAUCCCAGCUGACUCCGGGCGAAAAGUGGACUCCACCCUGAACUGGUCGCCAGUCAGUCGUUGGCCACAUAAAGACACGGACGACCAUUCGCACUCCCAUUCACACCAUCUGUGAGUGGGAACCGAUCCCACGCUGCCUUCACCGAAACCAGAUUCCGUUGGAGCGACCCCCUUUUAAGAAAGACUUCCGUGGAGUCUUCACCUCAAGUCUGAAGAUUGACGUUCAAUUUCAACUGGGAGUGGCAAACGGCUCGAAGCAAGCAGACUUCAUGUCACACGGAUGAUCUUCUAAAGUUUUCAACAGACCUGGACAGGGAGAGGAUGGCUCUGACUUUUGAACUCCAAGACACUGACCUGUGACCCCUUUGAAUUUGACUGACAGCUCAAACACAGCAAGAGGAUGGAGAGAUGCCUGUCAUGAAGGAAAGCGGAGGGUGGCGAGUGUGUUCCGGUGCCAGCUGGCACGGGAAGCCCGAGAUGAGCGAAGGGCCAGCUGGAACGCCGCCGAGCGCUUUAACCGACUCCGCGCGGGGGCCGUCCCGUUACAAGUGACACAAAACAAGACUAAUUGUGCAUUAAUCAGCGCCUUCGCCGCGCACGUUCUUGCGUUCCAGCCACUUGGGCGGAGCUCCCCUGGCAGUCUGCGUUUCGGCUUCCGUUUUUUUUGUGUGCGUUGCCGCUUUCACUUAUCGGAAUGCAGAUAAAUAUUCACGUGUUAGUCUGUGAAGGAAAAAUAUUGGUAUUGCAGAGGUGGUUUGAGAUACAAAUUUAAUUGUUUCUGUGAUCACGGUUGUACCUCAAAACAUUCACAUCUCAAAUCAUCUUUUCCCAUUGAAAUGAAUGAAAACGCCAUGAAUCCGUUACAGCCUCUCAAAAGACAUUUUUGCAAUGUGUUCAUAAAUGGGCGGCACAGUGGAUCCGCUGGUAAAGUGUCGGCCUCACAGUUCUGAGGACCUGGGUUUGAUCCCAGCCCUCCCUUUGUGGAGUUUGCAUGUUCUCCCUGUGCCUGCGUGGCUUUUCUUCGGGCACUCCGGUUUUCUCCCACAUCCCAAAAGCAUUAAUUGCCCAAAUUGCCCCUAGGUGUGAUUGUGAGUGCAGCUUUUUGUCUCCACGUGCCCUGCGAUUGGCUGGCACCCAGUUCAGGGUGUACCCCACCUCCUCCCCGUUGACGGCUGGGAUAGGCUCCAGCACUCCCUGCAACCCUCGUGGGGAUAAGCAGCAAAGAAAAUGGAUGGAUGGACGGAUGUUUAUAAAUGACAAAAAACACUGUAAUGUUGUACUUGAUGAAAACAUUCAGCGGAAUUACAGUAGAGUUACAAUUACAGUAUCUUUUUGUCACACCCUUUGUUUCAAUUGAUAUUGUGCUGCUCCUUUUGGUGUGUGAACCAUGACCACUUGGGAGCAGCAGCAUCCAAACAUACGGAUAUACAUUGAGACAUUGCUACCGCUGAUUCAUAUAAGCUAUGUAUGCAAAUGCAAAUAGUUUCUGCUGCUCGCAUUAAAUAUUUUUUUACAAAAAUCAA